ACAAUUAGCUGUUGGGACACUAGAUGUCUUAGUAGCGAAGCUAACGCGUGAAAUUGUCCGCCUGGGGAGUACGGUCGCAAGAUUAAAACUCAAAGGAAUUGACGGGGACCCGCACAAGCGGUGGAUGAUGUGGAUUAAUUCGAUGCAACGCGAAGAACCUUACCUGGUCUUGACAUGUACGGAAUCUCUUAGAGAUAGGAGAGUGCCUUCGGGAGCCGUAACACAGGUGCUGCAUGGCUGUCGUCAGCUCGUGUCGUGAGAUGUUGGGUUAAGUCCCGCAACGAGCGCAACCCUUGUCAUUAGUUGCCAUCAUUAAGUUGGGCACUCUAAUGAGACUGCCGGUGAUAUGCCGGAGGAAGGUGGGGAUGACGUCAAGUCCUCAUGGCCCUUAUGACCAGGGCUUCACACGUCAUACAAUGGUCGGUACAGAGGGUAGCGAAGCCGCGAGGUGAAGCCAAUCUCAGAAGGCCGAUCGUAGUCCGGAUUGCACUCUGCAACUCGAGUGCAUGAAGUCGGAAUCGCUAGUAAUCGCAGGUCAGCAUACUGCGGUGAAUACGUUCCCGGGUCU
rnacentral:rRNA from 1 species